UGGGGAAUUUUGGACAAUGGGCGCAAGCCUGAUCCAGCCAUGCCGCGUGCGGGAAGAAGGCCUUCGGGUUGUAAACCGCUUUUGUCAGGGAAGAAAUCUUCUGAGUUAAUACCUCGGGAGGAUGACGGUACCUGAAGAAUAAGCACCGGCUAACUACGUGCCAGCAGCCGCGGUAAUACGUAGGGUGCAAGCGUUAAUCGGAAUUACUGGGCGUAAAGCGUGCGCAGGCGGUUUUGUAAGACAGAGGUGAAAUCCCCGGGCUCAACCUGGGAACUGCCUUUGUGACUGCAAGGCUUGAGUGCGGCAGAGGGGGAUGGAAUUCCGCGUGUAGCAGUGAAAUGCGUAGAUAUGCGGAGGAACACCGAUGGCGAAGGCAAUCCCCUGGGCCUGCACUGACGCUCAUGCACGAAAGCGUGGGGAGCAAACAGGAUUAGAUACCCUGGUAGUCCACGCCCUAAACGAUGUCAACUGGUUGUUGGGAAGGUUCCUUCUCAGUAACGUAGCUAACGCGUGAAGUUGACCGCCUGGGGAGUACGGCCGCAAGGUUGAAAACUCAAAUGAAUUGACGGGGUCAUAGCUGUUUCC
rnacentral:rRNA from 1 species